UACGAAGGGGGCUAGCGUUGCUCGGAAUCACUGGGCGUAAAGCGCACGUAGGCGGCUUCUUAAGUCAGUGCUGAAAUAUCCCGGCUUAACCGGGAGGGUGGCAUUGAUACUGAAUGACUUGAGUGGAGUUGAGGUAGGCGGAAUUGACGGUGUAGCGGUGAAAUGCUUAGAUAUCGUCAAGAACACCGAUAGCGAAGGCAGCUUACCAAGCUCUAACUGACACUGAUGCACGAAAGUGUGGGGAUCAAACAGG
rnacentral:rRNA from 1 species